rnacentral:lncRNA from 13 species
GCAGAACGCGAUAGCGGAGCGGGCAAACGCGUUGCAGAUCGGAGUGAGAGCGAGCGGCGUCGCAAAUCCAUUAAAGAACGCGGCGGACGCGGAACGUAUCGAGACCGAAACGAGCGGCGUCGCAGUUCAAUUAACAGGACGCGGCGGACGCGAUGCGAUUCGGAGUCGGAGCAAGUGGCGACGCGUGCGACGCGAUCUCAUGAAACAGUACGCGAUGAACGCUUUUAUGCGGGACGCUUUUAUGGGAUGCGAAAUGGAGUGGCUCCGGAAGGGAAAUCGCGGAUUUAAUUGAACGCGAUGAACGCUUUUACAGAACGGAGUGGCUAUAAUAUGAGAAUAACAUCGCGAUUUUAAUUGAACGUGAUGUGAGACGGACCUGCUCUAAAAGGAUUCAUUCUGAAAACUUGUGAGGAAAGAGGUUUGACAAUUCCAAGGGAGAAGGAGGCCUAAGACAGGUAUCAGGCAUCGGUGGAGCAACUUAGCGAAUCAUCGUAGCUACAUUGCUGAUAACUCCACUGUUGCGCAUCGGUCGAAAUUUUCGGAUUAUACAUACGUAAGUAUGGAUAUUUGAUAAUUAUGCUUCUAAACGAAAUUAUAUUUAAUAAUUUUAAAUAUAAUACUAAUUAAUUUAAUUAUAUUAUUUAGUAUUAUUUGUACAGUACGCUGCAAAAUUGCAGUAGUAUUAUCAUACACAUGUUAAUAUCA